rnacentral:tRNA from 1 species
AAUCUUAUAGUUUAAUUAAAACAUUAAAUUGCAAAUUUAGUAAUGAAUUUAUUUCUAAGAUUU